rnacentral:rRNA from 1 species
UACGUAGGGGGCAAGCGUUGUCCGGAAUCAUUGGGCGUAAAGCGCACGUAGGCGGCCCGAUCAGUCCGCUGUGAAAGUCAAAGGCUCAACCUUUGGAUGCCGGUGGAUACUGUCGGGCUAGAGUCCGGAAGAGGCGAGUGGAAUUCCUGGUGUAGCGGUGGAAUGCGCAGAUAUCAGGAGGAACACCCAUAGCGAAGGCAGCUCGCUGGGACGGUACUGACGCUGAGGUGCGAAAGCGUGGGGAGCGAACAGGAUUAGAAACCCCCGUAGUCC